rnacentral:rRNA from 1 species
AUUGAACGCUGGCGGCAUGCCUUACACAUGCAAGUCGAACGGCAGCACGGGAGCAAUCCUGGUGGCGAGUGGCGAACGGGUGAGUAAUAUAUCGGAACGUGCCCAGUCGUGGGGGAUAACGCAGCGAAAGUUGUGCUAAUACCGCAUACGAUCUAUGGAUGAAAGCGGGGGAUCGCAAGACCUCGCGCGAUUGGAGCGGCCGAUAUCAGAUUAGGUUGUUGGUGAGGUAAAAGCUCACCAAGCCUGCGAUCUGUAGCUGGUCUGAGAGGACGACCAGCCACACUGGAACUGAGACACGGUCCAGACUCCUACGGGAGGCAGCAGUGGGGAAUUUUGGACAAUGGACGCAAGUCUGAUCCAGCAAUGCCGCGUGCAGGACGAAGGCCUUCGGGUUGUAAACUGCUUUUGUACAGAACGAAAAGUCUUUAAUAACACUAAGAGGCUCAUGACGGUACUGUAAGAAUAAGCACCGGCUAAC